rnacentral:lncRNA from 1 species
CAAGCCCCUGCUGUUAGAAAGGUCUUAAUCCAGACACUGAGGUUAACAGGAAAUGGUGGCUCCAAAUCCUAUCAGCCCAGAAGCUACUCUGAGCCCACACCCAGCACCUGGAGGUACCUGAAAGUGAGUUCCCUAGAAGUCCAGCACAGCCAUCUCCUCUUCACAGCCCUGGGAUGCAGCUGUCAGACCACAUGAAAACCAUUCUCCUCAAGGAAAAAAGUGCCAGCUCCUCACACUGUGUCAACAGCCACCCGAGGGCCUACCACUUUACAACGCGAGUGUAUUACUAUUUAAAGACAAGCUUUUAGCCGAACAUCAGUGCUGCCGUCAGAGUUUAAUUACCGCCCUCCCCAUGGGGCCCAAUGAGCCAGCGACUCCUCCCAAGGGGCUUCUGCUUGGUGAUGAUCUUUAACUAAGUAAGUAAAUUCCAAACGGGCUGGGUUUAAAGCGCACGCAUCUGAUUUCCUGCUCUGCUUUGAGACUGUGGAUGACUGGUAAUGAGGCGUGUGCAAUUCAGGCUCCUGGGGCAAUUAAUUUCCCAUCGGAAACAAAAAAACAAAAAUCUAUUGGAACGCACAUAUAAUAAUCCAGUAGCAUAUAAUAUAUGUUUCAG